AGCAGAGUAUAGUGGUUUUGAGUGUUGGAUUUCAACUCUGGAGGCCAGGGUUUGAAUCCCUGCUCAGCCA
rnacentral:tRNA from 1 species